AAGGCGAAGAGUUUGAUCCUGGCUCAGGACGAACGCUGGCGGCGUGCUUAACAAAGCUCAGCAUGCAAGUCGAACGGAAAGGUCUCUUCGGAGACACUCGAGUGGCGAACGGGUGAGUAACACGUGGGCAAUCUGCCCUGCACUUCGGGAUAAGCCUGGGAACCGAGUAUACUGGGUCUAAUACCGGAUAGGACCUCAAGACGCAUGUCUUCUGGUGGAAAGCUUUUGCGGUGUGGGAUGGGCCCGCGGCCUAUCAGCUUGUUGGUGGGGUGACGGCCUACCAAGGCGACGACGGGUAGCCGGCCAAACUGAGAGGGUGUCCGGCCACACUGGGACUGAGAUACGGACGCGAUACGCCCAGACUCCUACGGGAGGCAGCAGUGGGGAAUAUUGCACAAUGGGCGCAAGCCUGAUGCAGCGACGCCGCGUGGGGGAUGACGGCCUUCGGGUUGUAAACCUCUUCCCGGUUCAGCAGGGACGAAGCGCAAGUGGCGGUACCUGCAGAAGAAGCACCGGCCAACUACGUGCCAGCAGCCGCGGUAAUCCAAUUACGUAGGGUGCGAGCGUUGUCCGGAAUUACUGGGCGUAAAGAGCUCGUAGGUGGUUUGUCGCGUUGUUCGUGAAAUCUCACGGCUUAACUGUGAGCGUGCGGGCGAUACGGGCAGACUAGAGUACUGCAGGGGAGACUGGAAUUCCAAAUCGCGUGGUGUAGCGGUGGAAUGCGCAGAUAUCAGGAGGAACACCGGUGGCGAAGGCGCGGAAUUAGCGCGGUCUCUGGGCAGUAACUGACGCUGAGGAGCGAAAGCG
rnacentral:rRNA from 1 species